UGUUGUGUUGCGGAAAAUCUACUUGUGUAAAAACGCUGCAACAGAGUAUUUGUUUUUUUUUCGCACACGGAUCAGAACAACUGUUAGAUAUGAAAAAAUGGAAAAAAGAUUACACUGACCCUUCCACCAGGAGCUGAAUGAACCUGAAAGGUCUCAGUAACUGAAGCUACAAAGGUUGUCUGGGAGAAAUAGUGGAUCGCUCAUUGUACUUACUAUGUAUAUACCACAGUAAUUUGUAUGCGUACGUUGUUAUGUAACCCUUUAUUUACACACAAUUACAAUAAAACGAAUUCUUUAUUGAACAUCUAAGAGUGACCAAACUGUCAUACUGCCGCCUAUUUGUCAAACCAGCGAUUUAACGCCUGGACUGGUUUGGUUAUCCACCCUUAGAGGUUUAACAUAGGUUUAAGAAUGUUAAUCUGAAGCCUCUGUUUUCAUACUCCAUGUCGAAACCCAACGUCGGAUAUGAGGACCGAAUAUAUUACAGAUAUUUUUUCACUUGAGCUGUACUUUAUUUUGACAGUAAAAUGUUGGCUUCGGAUGUGAUGAAUUUCGUUUUAAAUUGUACAUUGUUUUAUAAUUUAUUGCAUAUCCUAACGUACUGUCACAUUAAUAUAGAGUUCAUUUCAGAAUGUUGAAUUUCAAUAAAAAACAAAUAUUUAAAAUA